rnacentral:rRNA from 1 species
CCUACGGGAGGCAGCAGUAGGGAAUCUUCCACAAUGGACGAAAGUCUGAUGGAGCAACGCCGCGUGAGCGAUGAAGGCCUUCGGGUCGUAAAGCUCUGUUGUUAGGGAAGAACAAGUAUCGGAGUAACUGCCGGUACCUUGACGGUACCUAACCAGAAAGCCACGGCUAACUACGUGCCAGCAGCCGCGGUAAUACGUAGUGGCAAGCGUUGUCCGGAAUUAUUGGGCGUAAAGCGCGCGCAGGCGGUCCUUUAAGUCUGAUGUGAAAGCCCACGGCUCAACCGUGGAGGGUCAUUGGAAACUGGAGGACUUGAGUACAGAAGAGAAAGUGGAAUUCCACGUGUAGCGGUGAAAUGCGUAGAGAUGUGGAGGAACACCAGUGGCGAAGGCGACUUUUCUGGUCUGUAACUGACGCUGAGGCGCGAAAGCGUGGGGAGCAAACAGGAUUAGAUACCUGGUAGUCCACGCCGUAAACGAUGAGUGCUAAGUGUUAGAGGGUUCCCCUUUAGUGCUGCAGCUAACGCAUUAAGCACUCCGCCUGGGGAGUACGGGCCGCAUAGGCUGAAACUCAAAGGAAUUGACGGGGGCCGCACACGCGGGGAGCAUGUGGUUUAAUUCGAAGCAACGCGAAGAACCUUAC